rnacentral:rRNA from 1 species
UACGUAGGUGGCGAGCGUUGUCCGGAUUUACUGGGCGUAAAGGGAGCGUAGGCGGACUUUUGAGUGAGAUGUGAAAUACUCGGGCUCAACUUGAGUGCUGCAUUUCAAACUGGAAGUCUAGAGUGCAGGAGAGGAGAAUGGAAUUCCUAGUGUAGCGGUGAAAUGCGUAGAGAUUAGGAAGAACACCAGUGGCGAAGGCGAUUCUCUGGACUGUAACUGGCGCUGAGGCUCGAAAGCGUGGGGAGCAAACAGG